AUGCCAGGAGCAAGGAAGAACAAUGACAGAAGAAGAGAAGAGGGUGAAGCUCCAAAGGGAAAGAAAAUGAGCAAGCAUGUCAUACAAAUCACUUAUGGAUCUUGUGGGCUUAAGGGACACAAUAAAAGUGGUUGUAAGAAGAAUGCAGAUAGAACCCAUAAAACUAAAUCAUUUCUUGGAAAAAGAGGGAGAAAGCAAAGGGAAACAGAGCAAGCUCAGACUGAUGGAUCAAAAUCAUCAGCUCCAACUAGGUCUAAAGCUCUAAGAACUAGAGCUCCAGCAACAAGCUUUCAACCUCCUAGAACUACAACACCAAGCUCUCAACCUGGCACAUCAGCAUCUCAAGCUCCAAGAACUACAGUGCUUACUAGCUCUAAUCAUGGUGGAAGCACUAGUUCUGGGAGAGGAGCAGGCAGAGGAGCAGCCAGAGGAGCAGCCAGAGGAGCAGGGAGAGGAUCUGGGAGAGGAUCAGGCAGAUGA
rnacentral:rRNA from 1 species